UCCUCAUCGAGAGUGGUGGAGGGACUGGCCCGAUGAAACCCGGCAACCGGAGCUUGCUCCAUGGUGCCAAAUCCUGCAGGACCAUCAGUGGUUCUGAGAGAUGAGAG
rnacentral:ncRNA from 2 species